rnacentral:rRNA from 1 species
CCCUUAGACGUUCUGGGCCGCACGCGCGCUACACUGACGAAGGCAACGAGCUUUCCUUUACCGAAAGGUACGGGUAAUCUUUUGAAACUUCGUCGUGCUGGGGAUAGAUCCUUGCAAUUAUUGAUCUUAAACGAGGAAUUCCUAGUAAGCGCAAGUCAUCAACUUGCGUUGAUUACGUCCCUGCCCUUUGUACACACCGCCCGUCGCUCCUACCGAUUGAAUGUUCCGGUGAGCUCUUCGGACUGCGCGGUCUGCAGUUUCUGCGUUCCGUGCGGAAAGUUGCGCAAACCUUAACAUUUAGAGGAAGGAGAAGUCGUAACA